ACAAAACAUUGGGAUUUGAUGCAGCGUUUUUAUAAAAUUUUAAAAAUCAUAAAAGUCUGGGUUAAAAUUAAGAUAAAAACUAAAAACCAAAUGUGUGACGCUGUGUUUUGUACCUCUAGAUAUAAGAAAGAAGGCGUCCAAGUUCCUGAAUUGCCUUUUCAUAGAUUUCUAAAAUGUCCUGAAAUUAGAACUGCGUGGAUUUGGACAAUAAAACGAAAAUCUGGAAGUGAAAGGUUAUAAAGGACGAACGAAACAAACUUCGAGAGCUGGCUAGUAAUGAAACAAAAACGAAGGUUUUGAGCAUUUUCCUCAGUCAGUUUUCUACGUCCAGCUCUCUAUAAUUUUGUUGACCUAGAAUUCUUGACUUUUACUUGGCUUUUUAUUUUAUAAUAAAGCAAGAUCCCGGAAGCGCCAGACUGUAUUUAUGUACUUAUUUUCUGAGAAACGGCCAAUUUAUAAGUAUCAGCUGCUGCCUGCUAAAGGUACAUAUGUAUAACAUUACUCACUUUUCUUAAAGUCUGAGUGUA